GCGGGCGAGGUGACCUCGGGCGGAUUUGCAAGCCCCACAAGUUUCUCCUUUCUCUGCAAAACUGUCGUGAUUACAAUGUUGCUCCCCUUUUGCAAAAUAAAAGUAGGUUAGUUGGAUUGUUUGUCCUUAGAUUUCUAGGGGUUCAUGAAGGAGGAUGUGUAUUUCUCCCUCCCCCCCGCACUGCACACCCCGCGCCCUGUUACUUUUUUUUUCCGCUUCUCUUUCUGGGGAUGGAAAAACAACUUUGGGGCCCCCUGGGGGGUGCCGGCGUGGAGGUGGAGGUGUCCGCUAGGGCCCAGCUGUCAAAAAGCAGUGGGGCGUGGGGGGCAGAGACGACUGGGCAGGGAAACGCCGAGGAAAGGGCGCGAACUUUAUUCCGACUGCUGCGAACCUCGGCGUCGCUUUUCUUUUCGGGCAGUCGCCGGUCUCGGUCCCUUUUGACCAGUUCCUACUCGCGAGCCGCCGCCGCCGCCGCCCCCUCCUCCUUUCCCCUUCCCCUCCUCCUUCGUGCCCGUCGCGCUGCCCCGCACCCGGAUCAGCCCGGGUCCCUGCUCGCUGUCGGGGAGAAGGGAAGGCAGGCACAGGUUUCGAGCAUAUUCCCUGAACACUUGAAAAUCAGAAUCGGCGGAGGCGAACACUUGGCUUGGCAGGACAGCAGGUCUGGUUACCGGUUUCCACUGAGAAGAGAAAAUCAUCCCUCCUUGCUUUCUCUCUUCCCCGAAGUAGAGGAAGAGACUGCCCAAUUGCACUCAGAGUAAGAAGAUCAACUCAGUGCGAUGGGGCAAGAGAAGUGCCAUCAACGAAGCCCAAAGAAAGUUCGUAGAAGAGUUCCCUGGUGGCUCAGCAAGUUAAGGAUCCAGCGUUGUCACUGCUGUGGCUCAGGUCACUGUGGUUCAGGUCGCUGCAGUGAUCAUUGACCUGGAAUUUCAACCUGCUAUGGGUAUGCCUUUCCCCCCCAAAAGAGAAGAAGGACUUGUGGGAAAUCCAAAGAAAUGAGACUGUUCUGGUUCAAGAAAUAACUAGGAAGUGGUGUUUGAGAUGGGCCUAGAAAGAUGCCAACAGGCAGAGGGAUUUUCAGGUGGAGGAAAAUAAAUGUGAGAAGAAAGAAUGUGCA
rnacentral:lncRNA from 1 species